CCCUUAGAUGUUCUGGGCCGCACGCGCGCUACACUGUUCGACGCAGCGAGUCUUAACCUUGACCGAAAGGUUUGGGUAAUCUUCAGCAAAGUCGAACGUGAUGGGGAUCGAUCAUUGCAAUUAUUGAUCGUGAACGAGGAAUUCCUAGUAAGUGCAAGUCAUCAGCUUGCGCUGAUUACGUCCCUGCCCUUUGUACACACCGCCCGUCGCUACUACCGAUUGAAUGGUUUAGUGAGGUCUCUGGAUUGACGCUGGCUAGGGGGCGACCCUUGGCCAGACUGCUCGAGAAACUGCUCAAACUUGAUCAUUUAGAGGAAGUAAAAGUCGUAACA
rnacentral:rRNA from 1 species